UGGCUCCCCUCCUCCACCCCCUGGGGGGCGUCAGGCUGCCUCCAAAAACCUCCCUCCUGGAGGGAAGUUUUUGGAAAACAGCGCAUUCCCGGCGGCAUGGUGCGAACGGCACCGCUGGGAACACGCUAUUUUCCCCGUCCCUCUCCCACUCACCUCUU